UACGUAGGUGGCAAGCGUUAUCCGGAAUUAUUGGGCGUAAAGAGCGCGCAGGUGGUUAAUUAAGUCUGAUGUGAAAGCCCACGGCUUAACCGUGGAGGGUCAUUGGAAACUGGUUAACUUGAGUGCAGAAGAGGGAAGUGGAAUUCCAUGUGUAGCGGUGAAAUGCGUAGAGAUAUGGAGGAACACCAGUGGCGAAGGCGGCUUCCUGGUCUGUAACUGACACUGAGGCGCGAAAGCGUGGGGAGCAAACAGG
rnacentral:rRNA from 1 species